rnacentral:lncRNA from 1 species
GCUCGCUGCAGGUUCUCCUGGCUCGGCGGCGCGGAGGCAAAGGCCUGUUUCUGCAAAGACUUUGUGAGGCCCCAUGACUCUUCCUCAACCUCCCGACCGCUGGAGGUCCCUGAUAGUUGAAUAAGCUAAGUGCAAUGUGCCCGCCCAGUUCUUUCCUGGAAGAUGAAACACAGCUCCCUGAGUCAGGAGACAGAAGAAUGGAUAAACAUUCCUCAAUUGCUGUUGAUAGGUUCUCACCCCAGAACCCAGGCAGUCGGCCUCAUGCUCCAGAGUGCAGGUCCCAUAAGGCGGCUACGAUUUUGUUCUGUCUCCACUCUGGGGAGUUGGAAGGCUGGAGCACGGACGAGCCAUCUCUCCCCCUACCUCCUGGUGAUGUUUGGAAAUCUUAAUUUUGUUUUAUAGGUCACAGGUCAGCCCAUCCAUGCCGAUCCUUGUAAUUGGACAGGACGUGCUUUGUGUGGUCUGAUUACAUCUUUUCUUUCAGACCCAAGGGGAGCCGUCAAUUAGAGCCGUGCUUGAGCCUAAGGCUGACCUGAACCGUUUGAAGGCAGAUCUUCCAUGGAGUGCCCCGGUACUACUUCAUUUCCAGGAAUCUUAAUUACAAGGCAUUACUCUGAUGGAUUGAAUGUAUUAAGUAGCCUCAAUUCACCCCAGUUUGCAGCCCUUUGGGAGGCGGCUCCCCUCCCAUCAUUUUCUGCCCCGCUUUGCUGCCCCAGUGCCAUGGCACCAGGAGGGCUUUGUUCCAAACCAACUUUGAGCUGUGAGUAUUAUCAGAGGCCCCUCCCCUGCCUGGAGGCCUUUCGGAAACUACUUUAUCUCUUGCAGGUCCUUUUCUGGAAAGGUCAAAGGGAUGAGAGGGGUCUCUGCAGUGUCCUGGAUCUGGUUUCAACCUCACCUUCUCCAUGUAUGAGAAGACAAGUCACUUGGAUUCACCAUGCCUCGGUUUCCCCAGAUGGCAAGCAGGACUCAGCCUUUUGUACCUGGUCCAUCAGAGGACGAGCUUUCACGUGUUAGCCAACACCUCCGUCAUCACCAUCAUUGCCAUGAUCAUCGUCCUCAUCACCUUGACACGCUGAGCUUUGUAGCUUAAAAACAAAAUGCCUUUAACAAUGUGCAACAGGUCUAAGAUGCCACCUUUGGGAUCAGAUGGGAGUUUGGGAUUAUUUCUAUUUUCCAAUUGUUCAGCCCCCUCCCACUAAGUGCGAAGCGGAGAGCCAUUAAGUUGCAAUGGAUUUGAUUCACCACGUGGCCCCUCAAAUCCUUUCUGGAACAAGAUUGGAUGUAAAAAUAAAUCAAAUAAAUGCA